rnacentral:rRNA from 1 species
CCUACGGGUGGCAGCAGUGAGGAAUAUUGGUCAAUGGACGCAAGUCUGAACCAGCCAUGCCGCGUGCAGGAAGACGGCUCUAUGAGUUGUAAACUGCUUUUGUACGAGGGUAAACGCAGAUACGCGUAUCUGUCUGAAAGUAUCGUACGAAUCCGGAUCGGCUAACUCCGUGCCAGCAGCCGCGGUAAUCCGGAGGAUUCAAGCGUUAUCCGGAUUUAUUGGGUUUAAAGGGUGCGUAGGCGGUCGGAGAAGUUAGAGGUGAAAGCCCGAGGCUCAACUUCGGAAUUGACUCUGAUACUGGGCGGAUAGAGAGUAGGAGCGGGAGGCGGAAUGUAUGGUGUAGCGGUGAAAUGCUUAGAGAUCAUACAGAACACCGGUGGCGAAGGCAGCUUAC